CCUACGGGAGGCUGCAGUAGGGAAUUUUCGUCAAUGGGGGGAACCCUGAACGAGCAAUGCCGCGUGAGUGAAGAAGGUCUUCGGAUCGUAAAGCUCUGUUGUAAGUGAAGAACGGUCAGUAGAGGAAAUGAUACUGAAGUGACGGUAGCUUACCAGAAAGCCACGGCUAACUACGUGCCAGCAGCCGCGGUAAUACGUAGGUGGCGAGCGUUAUCCGGAAUCAUUGGGCGUAAAGGGUGCGCAGGUGGUACAUUAAGUCCGAAGUAAAAGGCAGCAGCUCAACUGCUGUUGGCUUUGGAAACUGGUGAACUGGAGUGCAGGAGAGGGCGAUGGAAUUCCAUGUGUAGCGGUAAAAUGCGUAGAUAUAUGGAGGAACACCAGUGGCGAAGGCGGUCGCCUGGCCUGCAACUGACACUGAGGCACGAAAGCGUGGGGAGCAAAUAGGAUUAGAUACCCCAGUAGUC
rnacentral:rRNA from 1 species